AAUCCGUGUUGCGUGCACUUUCUCAGGAGCUCCUUGAACCUUCCACAUGUCUCAAAUAGAGACUCCAAUUCUGACUAUAUAAAGGAUGAGAUCUCAUUCUUAAGCUU